rnacentral:rRNA from 1 species
AGAGUUUGAUCCUGGCUCAGGAUGAACGCUGGCGGCGUGCUUAAUACAUGCAAGUCGAGCGAACGGACGAGAAGCUUGCUUCUCUGAUGUUAGCGGCGGACGGGUGAGUAACACGUGGAUAACCUACCUAUAAGACUGGGAUAACUUCGGGAAACCGGAGCUAAUACCGGAUAAUAUUUUGAACCGCAUGGUUCAAAAGUGAAAGACGGUCUUGCUGUCACUUAUAGAUGGAUCCGCGCUGCAUUAGCUAGUUGGUAAGGUAACGGCUUACCAAGGCAACGAUGCAUAGCCGACCUGAGAGGGUGAUCGGCCACACUGGAACUGAGACACGGUCCAGACUCCUACGGGAGGCAGCAGUAGGGAAUCUUCCGCAAUGGGCGAAAGCCUGACGGAGCAACGCCGCGUGAGUGAUGAAGGUCUUCGGAUCGUAAAACUCUGUUAUUAGGGAAGAACAUAUGUGUAAGUAACUGUGCACAUCUUGACGGUACCUAAUCAGAAAGCCACGGCUAACUACGUGCCAGCAGCCGCGGUAAUACGUAGGUGGCAAGCGUUAUCCGGAAUUAUUGGGCGUAAAGCGCGCGUAGGCGGUUUUUUAAGUCUGAUGUGAAAGCCCACGGCUCAACCGUGGAGGGUCAUUGGAAACUGGAAAACUUGAGUGCAGAAGAGGAAAGUGGAAUUCCAUGUGUAGCGGUGAAAUGCGCAGAGAUAUGGAGGAACACCAGUGGCGAAGGCGACUUUCUGGUCUGUAACUGACGCUGAUGUGCGAAAGCGUGGGGAUCAAACAGGAUUAGAUACCCUGGUAGUCCACGCCGUAAACGAUGAGUGCUAAGUGUUAGGGGGUUUCCGCCCCUUAGUGCUGCAGCUAACGCAUUAAGCACUCCGCCUGGGGAGUACGACCGCAAGGUUGAAACUCAAAGGAAUUGACGGGGACCCGCACAAGCGGUGGAGCAUGUGGUUUAAUUCGAAGCAACGCGAAGAACCUUACCAAAUCUUGACAUCCUUUGACAACUCUAGAGAUAGAGCCUUCCCCUUCGGGGGACAAAGUGACAGGUGGUGCAUGGUUGUCGUCAGCUCGUGUCGUGAGAUGUUGGGUUAAGUCCCGCAACGAGCGCAACCCUUAAGCUUAGUUGCCAUCAUUAAGUUGGGCACUCUAAGUUGACUGCCGGUGACAAACCGGAGGAAGGUGGGGAUGACGUCAAAUCAUCAUGCCCCUUAUGAUUUGGGCUACACACGUGCUACAAUGGACAAUACAAAGGGCAGCGAAACCGCGAGGUCAAGCAAAUCCCAUAAAGUUGUUCUCAGUUCGGAUUGUAGUCUGCAACUCGACUACAUGAAGCUGGAAUCGCUAGUAAUCGUAGAUCAGCAUGCUACGGUGAAUACGUUCCCGGGUCUUGUACACACCGCCCGUCACACCACGAGAGUUUGUAACACCCGAAGCCGGUGGAGUAACCUUUUAGGAGCUAGCCGUCGAAGGUGGGACAAAUGAUUGGGGUGAAGUCGUAACAAGGUAGCCGUAUCGGAAGGUGCGGCUGGAUCACCU